GAGGAAGGAAGGUGACGAGUAUCAGAUGAUUGGUAUCAGUCUAUUUUUACCAGGUCCUCAUAACUAUAAUCAUUAGCUGCUCCAUUAAUUUUUAUUCUGAUCUUGUUAACUGUGGCAUUGUGUAUCCUCACCUUCAUGACUAACUAUUCACUCCUUGAACAAGAUGAGUCAGUAAUUUGACUUAUACCCAUAGAAGGGGUGGGGGAAUGUGACAAGGUCAAACAAAACUAAAGGUCAACAUAUCCUAGAUAACUUAUCUUAUGUUAAACUGCCUGUUUGUGGGAAUCCCCUCUAGUUAGCCACUUAGCUUCUGUUAAAGCUGAUUCCUUUAAAUUCCAUGCUUUUGUAAUUACAUCUGUCUGCUGAGAGAGAUGCCUGGACAUGGUUUCUGCUUUUAAAAUCCCCAUUUUCUGGACACUUGGCUCCAUACUUCCUUUAAUCUGAUCAUUUCUUGUGUGUCAAAUUCCUCUAUUUGUUUUGUUUAUUUAGUUUGGUUUCUUAAAUUUAUUUAUAUAUUUAUUUGUAUUCUAGCCUUUGCCACCCUCCAUGCCCCCCUCCCAAAAUACCUCACCUCUGUCGCAAAGAGGAUGUUCCUUCAACACAAGGAUUCCCCACUACCAGGGACCUCAGUCUCCAGAGGAUUCUCUGGGCUUAUUUUCUCCCACAGAGGACAGAACAGGGAGUCCUCUGCUAUAUAUGUACUAGAAUCCUCUGGCCAGCUCCUGUAUACUGCCUAGUUAGUGACACACUGUGUGGGAGCUCCCAGGGGUCUUAGCAAGUUGAGCCUUUUUGUCUUUCUAUGCUUCUUCCUUCCUUCUCCUAAUUCAAACAUAGAGGUCCCAACUUCAGUCCAAGGAUUCAGUGUAAGUAUAUGCAUCUGUCUCAGUCAACUGUUGGUCUAGACUCUCAGAGGACACCCUUGAUCAGCCCCUAAGCACAUCAUAGCAUCAGUAAUAUUUUCAGGCCUUGGUAUCUCCCCAUGAGGUGGAUCCCUAGUUGGGCCUGUCACUGGAGCUCACUUCCAACAGUCUCCUCUCCGUUUUUUUUUUCCAUUUUUAUUAGAUAGUUUUUUUAAAUUUACAUUCCAAAUGCUAUCCCUUUUCCAGGUAUCUCCUCCAAAAAUUCCUUAUCCAUCUGUCCUGCCCCUGCUCAACAACCAUCCACUCCUGCUAAUGGGCCCUGACAUUCACCUACACUGGAAAAAAGAGCCUUCACAGGACCAAGGACUUCUUCCAUUGAUGACCAACUAGGCCAUCCUCUGCUACAUAUGCACCUGGAGCCAUGAGUCCCACUUUUGUACCCUUUGUUUGGUGGUCCCUGGGAGCUAUGGGUAUACUGAUCAGUUCAUAUUAUUGUUUCUCCUAUGGGUCUGGAAAUUCCUUUAGCUCCUUGGGUACUUUCUCUAUCUCCCUCAUUGAGGACCCUGUGCUCAGACCAAUGAAUGGCUGUGAGCAUCCACUUCUGUAUUCAUGAGACACUAGAAGAUCCUCUCAGUAGACAUCUAUAUCAAGUACCUGUCAGCAAGCACUUGUUGGGAUCCACACUAGUGUCUGAGUUUAGCGAUUGUAUAUGGGAUGGAUCCCCAGGUGGGGAAGUCUAUGGGUGGUGACUCCUUCAGUCUCUGCUCUACACUUUGUCUCUGUAAUUCCUUCCAUGGGUAUUUUGUUCCUCAUUCUAAGAAGACUUGAAUUAUCCUCACUUUGGUCUUUAAUUGUUUCCCAACCAAAAUAAGAAACCCAGGACCAGAUGGGUUUAGUGCAGAGUUAUAUCAGUCCUUCAAAGGAGACCAAAUAUCAAUACUCUUCAAACUAUACCACAAAAUAGAAACAGAAGGUACUCUACCCAAUUUGUUCUAUGAAGCCACAAAUAUUCUGAUGCCUAUACCAAACAUAGACCUACAAAGAAUAUUUCAGACCAGUUUCCCUUAUGAAUAUCAAUAGAAAAUUCUCAAUAACAUUCUCCCAAAUGAAAUGCAAGAACACAUCAAAAUGAUCAUCCAUCAUGAUUCAGUAGGCUUCAUCCCAGGAAAAUCCAUUAAUGUAUCCCACAAAAUAU
rnacentral:lncRNA from 1 species